rnacentral:ncRNA from 2 species
GGUGAAGAUAGAGGUGCGGAUUUUAAGAGUAUAUAGCAGGAGGAAAAUGAGUUCCGUUGAUUGUUAUAGAAAGGGAAAUCUGCCGAAGUGGAAGCUAGCUCAUCAUAGCUUUUGCUGGUUUUGCAUUGAAUAAAUGUAAGACUGUCAAGAUCAAAAUCUUGGAGGGCUAUCUCACAC